rnacentral:rRNA from 1 species
GACAGAGGGUGCAAACGUUGCUCGGAAUCACUGGGCGUAAAGGGCGUGUAGGCGGGAAGGAAAGUCAGAUGUGAAAUCCCCAGGCUCAACCUGGGAACUGCAUUUGAAACUCCCUUUCUUGAGUACCGGAGAGGAAAGUGGAAUUCCUGGUGUAGAGGUGAAAUUCGUAGAUAUCGGAAGGAACAUCAGUGGCGAAAGCGACUUCCUGGACCAAUACUGACGCUCAUGUGCGAAAGCGCGGGGAGCAAACAGG